UGCUGAGAAGAGAGAAUGCCGGAAUGAGUAGCGAGAACAAGGUGAGAAUCCUUGUGGCCGAAUAUCCAAGGUUUCCAGAGUAAAGCUGAUCUGCUCUGGGUAAGUCGGGGCCUAAGGAGAGGCAGAGAUGCGUAUCCGAUGGACAGCAGGUUUAAGAUUCCUGCACCCCUUGUUAUCAGAACUGCGGGGACACGGGAAGGGAAGCAGAGCCGGGAAUGGAAAGCCCGGUGCAAGCGAAGUAGUCGCAGGGUUGGAAAAUCCGCCCUGCAUGAGACGAAGGCGUGAUGCGGAGCGAAAUGAAGUAGUGAAGCUGCGGCCCCUUCCUGUCGAGAAAAGCCGCUAUCGUGUAGCAAGGGCCCGUACCGUAAACCGACACAGGUGGAUGAGGAGAGAAUCCUAAGGCCGACGGGAGAAGCAUUGUUAAGGAACUCGGCAAAAUAACCCCGUAACUUCGGGAGAAGGGGAACCUAAGUAAAAUUAGGUCGCAGAGAAAAGGCCCAAGCAACUGUUUAACAAAAACACAGGUUUCUGCAAAAUCGAAAGAUGAAGUAUAGGAGCUGACGCCUGCCCAGUGCUGGAAGGUUAAGGGAAAGAGUUAGAUGUAAGUCGAAGCUUAGAACUAAAGCCCCAGUGAACGGCGGCCGUAACUAUAACGGUCCUAAGGUAGCGAAAUUCCUUGUCAGGUAAGUUCUGACCCGCACGAAUGGCGUAAUGAUUUGGGCACUGUCUCAACAGCCCGCCCGGCGAAAUUGUAGUACCGGUGAAGAUGCCGGUUACCCGCGACAAGACGGAAAGACCCCAUGGAGCUUUACUGUAGCCUGAUAUUGGGUUUCGGUGUUGCAUGCACAGGAUAGAUGGGACGCUGGGAAAGAAGCGCUUUGGCGUUUCUGGAGCGGACGUUGGGAUACCAUCCUUGCGACAUUGGAAUUCUAACCUGCGCCUCUGAAUCGAGGCGGGGGACAUUGUCAGGUGGGCAGUUUGACUGGGGCGGUCGCCUCCUAAAAAGUAGCGGAGGCGCUCAAAGGUUGGCUCAGCACGGACGGAAAUCGUGCGGUGAGUGUAAACGUAUAAGCCAGCCUAACUGCGAGAGUGACGGCUCGAGCAGUAACGAAAGUUGGAGUUAGUGAUCCGGUGGUAUGUGAGUGGAAAUGCCAUCGCUCAACGGAUAAAAGCUACCCUGGGGAUAACAGGCUGAUCUCCCCCAAGCGUCCACAGCGACGGGGAGGUUUGGCACCUCGAUGUCGGCUCGUCGCAUCCUGGGGCUGAAUUCGGUCCCAAGGGUUUGGCUGUUCGCCAAUUAAAGC
rnacentral:rRNA from 1 species